UCUUGUACAUUGAGGGUACUUUGGAGAUGAGAGUCACUCAUCCUAUGACUCUCUUGAUGUCUCCUCAAAUGGCCAGUUUCCUCGCUACUGAUACAACUAUAAAAUUUAGCACAUUUUUUACAUUUUAUUUUUCAAACUCUGUCAACAAGAACUCUUUCAAAAUUCUUCCAAACUGCACUAGUCCUCUUACAAGAAGAGAUUUGACUUUGAGUAGUUUCAGAGAGAGUAGGAGCAAUGGGAUUAGUUUUCUCUCUCUUGAAAAUAGG
rnacentral:lncRNA from 1 species